rnacentral:rRNA from 1 species
AGUGAACGCUGGCGGUAUGCCUAACACAUGCAAGUCGAACGGCAGCACAGUAAGAGCUUGCUCUUACGGGUGGCGAGUGGCGGACGGGUGAGGAAUACAUCGGAAUCUACUUUUUCGUGGGGGAUAACGUAGGGACACUUACGCUAAUACCGCAUACGACCUACGGGUGAAAGCAGGGGAUCUUCGGACCUUGCGCGAUUGAAUGAGCCGAUGUCGGAUUAGCUAGUUGGCGGGGUAAAGGCCCACCAAGGCGACGAUCCGUAGCUGGUCUGAGAGGAUGAUCAGCCACACUGGAACUGAGACACGGUCCAGACUCCUACGGGAGGCAGCAGUGGGGAAUAUUGGACAAUGGGCGCAAGCCUGAUCCAGCCAUACCGCGUGGGUGAAGAAGGCCUUCGGGUUGUAAAGCCCUUUUGUUGGGAAAGAAAAGCAGCAGGUUAAUACCCCGCUGUUCUGACGGUACCCAAAGAAUAAGCACCGGCUAACUUCGUG